rnacentral:rRNA from 1 species
CCUACGGGUGGCAGCAGUAGGGAAUAUUGCUCAAUGGGGGAAACCCUGAAGCAGCAACGCCGCGUGGAGGAUGAAGGUUUUCGGAUUGUAAACUCCUUUUGUUAGAGAAGAUAAUGACGGUAUCUAACGAAUAAGCACCGGCUAACUCAGUGCCAGCAGCCGCGGUAAUACGGAGGGUGCAAACGUUACUCGGAAUCACUGGGCGUGAAGAGCGCGUAGGCGGGAUAGCAAGUCAGAUGUGAAAUCCUAUGGCUUAACCAUAGAACUGCAUUUGAAACUGGUAUUCUAGAGUAUGGGAGAGGUAGGUGGAAUUCUUGGUGUAGGGGUAAAAUCCGUAGAGAUAAAGAAGAAUACUCAUUGCGAAGGCGA